GCGGGGUUGGUGUAAUGGAUAGCACGCUCGCCCGGAUGGGCUGAUGGAGGCGGUUCGAAUCCGCUUCCCCGCU
rnacentral:tRNA from 1 species